CUACGGGAGGCUCCAGUGGGGAAUCUUGGACAAUGGGCGCAAGCCUGAUCCAGCCAUGCCGCGUGAGUGAAGAAGGCCUUAGGGUCGUAAAGCUCUUUCGCCAGAGAUGAUAAUGACAGUAUCUGGUAAAGAAACCCCGGCUAACUCCGUGCCAGCAGCCGCGGUAAUACGGAGGGGGUCAGCGUUGUUCGGAAUUACUGGGCGUAAAGCGCGCGUAGGCGGAUUAGUCAGUCAGAGGUGAAAUCCCAGGGCUCAACCCUGGAACUGCCUUUGAUACUGCUAGUCUUGAGUUCGAGAGAGGUGAGUGGAAUUCCGAGUGUAGAGGUGAAAUUCGUAGAUAUUCGGAGGAACACCAGUGGCGAAGGCGGCUCACUGGCUCGAUACUGACGCUGAGGUGCGAAAGUGUGGGGAGCAAACAGGAUUAGAUACCCGCGUAGUC
rnacentral:rRNA from 1 species